rnacentral:rRNA from 1 species
GAGGUGAGUGGAAUUCCAAGUGUGAGGGGGAAAUUGGUAGAUUUUUGGAGGAACACCAGUGGCGAAGGCGGCUCACUGGCUCGAUACUGACGCUGAGGUACGAAAGUGUGGGGAGCAAACAGGAUUAGAUACCCUGGUAGUCCACACCGUAAACGAUGAAUGCCAGACGUCGGGGGGCUUGCCCUUCGGUGUCACACCUAACGGAUUAAGCAUUCCGCCUGGGGAGUACGGUCGCAAGAUUAAAACUCAAAGGAAUUGACGGGGGCCCGCACAAGCGGUGGAGCAUGUGGUUUAAUUCGAAGC